GACAGAUACUGACACUCAGAUGCGAAAGCGUGGGGAGCAAACAGGAUUAGAUACCCUGGUAGUCCACGCCGUAAACGAUGUCUACUUGGAGGUUGUGGCCUUGAGCCGUGGCUUUCGGAGCUAACGCGUUAAGUAGACCGCCUGGGGAGUACGGUCGCAAGAUUAAAACUCAAAUGAAUUGACGGGGGCCCGCACAAGCGGUGGAGCAUGUGGUUUAAUUCGAUGCAACGCGAAGAACCUUACCUACUCUUGACAUCCAGAGAACUUUCCAGAGAUGGAUUGGUGCCUUCGGGAACUCUGAGACAGGUGCUGCA
rnacentral:rRNA from 1 species